rnacentral:rRNA from 1 species
UACGUAGGGGGCAAGCGUUAUCCGGAUUUACUGGGUGUAAGGGGAGCGUAGACGGAACGGCAAGUUUGAAGUGAAAUACCUGGGCUUAACCCGGGAACUGCUUUGAAAACUGUCGAUCUAGAGUGUCGGAGAGGUAAGUGGAAUUCCUGGUGUAGUAGUGAAAUGCGUAGAUAUCAGGAAGAACACCGGAGGCGAAGGCGGCUUACUGGACGAUAACUGACGUUGAGGCUCGAAAGCGUGGGGAGCAAACAGG